rnacentral:rRNA from 1 species
UAAAACGUAGGAGGCUAGCGUUAUCCGGAUUUACUGGGCGUAAAGCGCGUGCAGGUGGUUUCGUAAGUUGGAUGUGAAAGCUCCUGGCUCAACUGGGAGAGGUCGUUCAAAACUGCGAGGCUUGAGAGUGGUAGAGGGAGGUGGAAUUCCGGGUGUAGUGGUGAAAUGCGUAGAUAUCCGGAGGAACACCAGUGGCGAAAGCGGCCUCCUGGACCAUUUCUGACACUCAGACGCGAAAGCUAAGGUAGCAAACGGG